rnacentral:rRNA from 1 species
UACGUAGGGUGCGAGCGUUGUCCGGAAUUACUGGGCGUAAAGAGCUCGUAGGUGGUUUGUCGCGUCGUCUGUGAAAUUCCGGGGCUUAACUCCGGGCGUGCAGGCGAUACGGGCAUAACUUGAGUACUGUAGGGGAGACUGGAAUUCCUGGUGUAGCGGUGGAAUGCGCAGAGAUCAGGAGGAAUACCGAAGGCGAAGGCAGUCUUCCAAGCCGUUAUUGACGCUCAACUGCGAAGGUGUGGGUAUCAAACAGGAUUAGAUACCCUGGUAGU